rnacentral:lncRNA from 1 species
UAGUUUGUUUUUCACUUAUCGCUGGUGUAGUUCGUCGCCUUCCCUUCUUAUCUCCCUUUUUCUUUUUAUUUGGGCGAGGAUUUUCUCUUUAGGCGAGGGUUUUCCCUCUGCUCUUAGUAGGGUUGUGGGGAUGUAGAGGAGCUACUGAGGAGGCUUUUCUCCUCAUCCGGUCCUGAUUGAUUGGGUCUUUGUUUGUGUUAGGG